rnacentral:rRNA from 1 species
UGGGGAAUAUUGCACAAUGGGGGAAACCCUGAUGCAGCAACGCCGCGUGAGUGAAGAAGUAUUUCGGUAUGUAAAGCUCUAUCAGCAGGGGAAGAAGAUGACGGUACCUGAUUAAGAACGCCCGGCUAACUACGUGCCAGCAGCCGGCGGUAAUCACUCGCU